AUGAAUCUAAUAAGUUGGAACUGCCGGGGCGGGGGGAAUCCCCAGACAGUUCGUGAGUUAGCGACCAUUGCUCGGUCGCAUUCCCCCACGUUUGUGUUCCUUUGCGAGACUAGACAAAAAGCAGAGAAAAUGAGAAGGAUUCGAGGUCGCCUUGGCCUCAAGGGUUUUGCCGGUGUGGACAGUAAUGGUAUGAGUGGUGGCUUGGCCUUCUAUUGGCAUGAGUCA
rnacentral:rRNA from 1 species